rnacentral:lncRNA from 1 species
ACAUACAGCAUCAAUAUCCCAGUCAUUCAAUCCAUAAUCAAUAAAACAGUAAAAUAUGCACACGAAACUAUAAAAUGAAAACAUCAAACCUCAUACUGCAUUUAAAACUAUAAAACAGGCCAAAUAACAGUUAACCGACAAACACACUAGACUCGGGCUCCAUUAGCGACCUUAAGCAAUUUCACACAUUCGUUGAUUCAAGAAAUGCCGUUUUAUCAUUAUUGAACUUUAAUACCGUGAUAGGAAAUAGGGUGAGGGGUCCUUACUCGUUUCGGGGUCCGAACACGGCUUCACAGUGCGCCUACAGACUGUCCCUAAUUUUCCCUG